GCUGGUUUAGCUCAGUGGAUAGAGCGUCGGCCUGUGGACCGAACGGUACCGGUUCGAUUCUGGUCAAAGGCA
rnacentral:tRNA from 1 species